GUAGCAAGAGUAGUAGUAGUUAGUCUAGAGUGGGAGUUAGAGUCAAGUUAGGGUCUCCGGAGCCGUCUUCUGGAUAGUCUGAUAUAGCUCUUGUAGCUUUCCUCUUUUGUGAUGAUAUGAGGGGAGGCUUGGCCUCCUAUUUAUACUUGAGGUAAGGUGGUGCUAUCCAAUGUUUGCACGGGAGCAUGUAGGGAACCGUCUUCACACAUCGACAUGUAGCCACUCAUGAAUGUCGGUUUAGGGAGGAGCCAGGAGGAGGUCGGUCGACCCCUAGGGUUGGCCGCACCGUGUCCACCACCUCUCGGCCACUACCUUUGCAUGAUGGAUCCUGGUGGACUCCUAGGUCGGACCUUCACGUGUUGCUCUUUGUUUGGUUGGCAUAUUCUCGUUUAUUGCACUUUUAUAAGUUGGAAAGCGCCUUUUGAUAAGUAGUUCCCAUGUAUUUGUGUUCAUGACCUGCAAAGUACAAUUCUCCAAAUACAUGUGGAACUAAGUUAGAACUAAAUUUAUAUGUGAUGUUAGUUUGGCAAA